AGAGCGGUAGGGGUGAUGUCAUCGCCGUGCGACGACAGGAAGUGAGUUCCCGGCCACUGUGCAGCUCCAGGUACCGAGCUCCUGCGUCUGACAGCGCCGCGAUCUCCGCGUCCCUCGGGUCCUGUCCGCUAUGGACAACGCCCGCGAGUCGCCCACGGACAAAGGUGGAGAGACGGGCGAGUCAGAUGAGCCGGCUGCUGCUCCCGGGGACCCGGGGACUACCGACACGGACGGAAUCCCAGAGGAAACUGAGGGAGACGGAGAAGCAGACUCGAAAGAAGCUGCCGCGGAGGAAGGCGAGCUCAAGAGUCAGGAUGUCUCAGAUUUAACAGCAGUUGAAAGGGAAGACUCAUCAUUACUUACUCCUGCAGCAAAAAAACUGAAAAUAGAUACCAAAGAAAAGAAAGAGAAGAAGCAGAAAGUAGAUGAAGAUGAGAUUCAGAAGAUGCAAAUUCUGGUUUCCUCUUUUUCUGAGGAGCAGCUGAACCGUUAUGAAAUGUAUCGCCGAUCGGCUUUCCCUAAGGCAGCUAUUAAAAGGCUGAUCCAGUCCAUCACUGGCACCUCUGUGUCUCAGAAUGUUGUUAUUGCUAUGUCUGGUAUUUCCAAGGUUUUCGUCGGGGAGGUGGUUGAAGAAGCACUGGAUGUGUGUGAGAAGUGGGGAGAAAUGCCACCGCUCCAACCCAAACAUAUGAGAGAAGCUGUUCGAAGGCUAAAGUCAAAGGGACAGAUCCCCAACUCGAAGCACAAAAAAAUCAUCUUCUUCUAGUCCAGAGUCUAGAAAGGCCUACUACUGAUGGAAGAACUGGCUCCAGACUUCCUGUUUCAUGAAAUGUUCUGCAUUGGUGCUUGUGUCUCAAUCCUCCAAGGACUCCAUGAUUUUAAUGUCUUUCUCAAAACUCUGAUAUUUGUCAUGCCUACAGGGUGUGCAGCCUCCUUCGUACUUGCCUUGAUGACUAAAUUUGGGGACCUCUUAAGGCAUUUCAGGGUAUUUUAAUUUCUUAAACAGUUAGGAACUGUACCUAUUGCAGUUAGAGAUCUUGAAUAAGGCUGAAACUUAGUAUGUAAUAAGGGAGGAAGAUUAAAUCCCAAGUCUAUCCAUUCAGCAAAGCCUCACUGUUAAAGGUUAUCCGAGUGUUUCUCUCGUGCCAUGGGGAAAAAUGCCUCAUGCAAUAACAGCUACUGCCCAAUAUUCCUUUUCGGGCAGAAGGCGAGGGGGCAACCAGGUAAAGGCCUUCGUUUCUGAAAGGAAUAGUGUCUCACACCUGAUUCUCUCUGAAACCCUUGAUGAUGACUACGAGGCGUCAGGAGGCAAGGAAACAGCUUUUACAGUUCUUAGGUAACCAGAUAUCAGUACUACAUUAUGUAGCAAAGCUCAUUUGUUUCCAGAGUUUUGUGAUUUAACUAUAACCAGUUUCGAAGUUUAGUGAGGCAAGUAUUAAAUAGGUGAGA